CAAUAAGCGGAGGAAAAGAAACUAACAAGGAUUCCCCUAGUAACGGCGAGUGAAGAGGGAAGAGCCCAAGAUUGAAAGCUGGCGUCUUCGGCGUCCGCAUUGUAAUCUCAAGAAGUGUUUUCCGCUUCGGACCAUGCCCAAGUCCCUUGGAAAAGGGCAUCAUAGAGGGUGAUAAUCCCGUACAUGGCAUGGAGCGCCCGAAGCUUUGUGAUACGCUUUCUACGAGUCGAGUUGUUUGGGAAUGCAGCUCAAAAUGGGUGGUAAAUGCCAUCUAAGGCUAAAUAUUGGGGAGAGACCGAUAGCGAACAAGUACAGUGAUGGAAAGAUGAAAAGAACUUUGAAAAGAGAGUUAAACAGUACGUGAAAUUGCCAAAAGGGAAGGGUAGGAGGUCAGAGAUGCGUCUUGGGAUUCAGCCUUGCUUUUUCGCUUGGUGUUUUUCCCAAGUUGCAGGCCAACGUCGGUUUUGGGCACUGGAGAAGGGUGGGAGGAACGUGGCACCUCUCGGGGUGUGUUAUAGCCUCCUACUGGAUACAGCGACCGAGACCGAGGACAGCAGCGUACUCGCAAGAGCGGGCCUUCGGGCACCUUUACGCUUAGGGCGUUGGCAUAAUGGCCCUCUACCACCCGUCUUGAAAC
rnacentral:rRNA from 1 species